GCCAGCAGCCAUAUCACCCUGCAACUCACAACUAGCAACCCAUUGAAGCUAAGCAGGUGUGAGCCUGGUCAGUACCUGGAUGGGAGACUAAGGAAAAACUAAGGUUGCUGCUGGAA
rnacentral:rRNA from 1 species